UACGUAGGUGACAAGCGUUGUCCGGAUUUACUGGGCGUAAAGAGCGCGCAGGCGGUCGAUCAAGUCGAGUGUGAAAGCCCCCGGCUCAACUGGGGAGGGUCAUUCGAUACUGAUCGACUCGAAGGCAGGAGAGGGUAGUGGAAUUCCUGGUGUAGAGGUGAAAUUCGUAGAUAUCAGGAGGAACACCAGUGGCGAAGGCGGCUUCCUGGACACUAACUGACGCUGAGACGCGAAAGCGUGGGGAGCAAACAGG
rnacentral:rRNA from 1 species